GAAUGAACACUUGAAAUAUAUCAGUCUGUGUGGAAUGAAUGUAUACAUUAUACAAGUUUCACUUUUUGAAUGGAAUUACUGAAAUAAAUCAACUUUUUGAUGAUAUUCUAAUUAUGUGACCAGCACCUGUGUAUGUAACUGCAGCUGAGCUGGCUGAGAGCUGUUUGCCGACGCUAACAUUAGGUAAGGCAAUGUAGGUGCAGUUUACUGACGGUGCCGGUUUAGUUAUUCACCAUCUAGGUUUAUUUUUAUGCCGUUUACACCUAACAUUAUCUUUACCUUGUAUCUAAUCUUUGUGUGAUUAUUUUUGUGUCUGCGAUCUUUGUUUGACUGUAUGUUACUCUUUUACAAAUGUGGCGAUGUAGCUGUUUGUUCUUGUAGUUAUGAGAAAGACAUUUCAACGUUAGUAUACAUAAGCAACGCUGGCUAAAGGUCCCCAAAUAUCUGCGUUUCUGGUCUAUAAGCUACUUAUUAUAUAGUUUGACAUUAUACAUAGCUAAACCUACUGUGUGAAAAUCUUUUACUGUAAUUGGUGCUGUUAUGCCACUAUUUAUUUUACCAGAAGUAAAAAUUACUGUAUGUUUUAUUUCUACUGUGUCCUCAGGUCACCUGGAGAUUUGGAGUCUUUCAUAGCCCUGUACUUCUCACUAGUAUACACUGAUCGGACCAUGCUGGAUGGCCUGGAUUACAACCACCAUGUCCACAGUCCAGCCAGGAGAAAAGCUGAUGACACAAUUCAGUACUGCAAGGUGUACAACAAAACACUUGUACUCAUUGAAGGUGGAGGACUACAGUUACAUCGUAGACCCACAGAGUGCCACUCUCCUCCUCUGACGGUUGAUACUGAGGAGAUGCCUAGAAGCAGAACCAUGAGAACCUGAUGAUUCCCGUCAACAUGGGGUUCAGUCAGGUGUCCCUGCCCCAACUGUACUGAUAGAUACAGCAAAACGUACAACAGAAAGUAAUAUGGUUGGUUUUAAAAUGUGGUGAUCAUGUCAAAAAGGUGAUUUUGAUAUUUUAAAUCAUCUUCACAGCAACAAUACAAAGCUACGACUAAAGUCUGAACUGUCUUCAUAAUCAGUCAAGAUACCUCUGGACUUGUCUUUC